GGGCCCGCACAAGCGGCGGAGCAUGUGGUUUAAUUCGAUGAUACGCGAGGAACCUUACCAGGGCUUAAAUGGGAAAUGACAGGGGCAGAGACGCCCCCUUCUUCGGACAUUUUUCAAGGUGCUGCAUGGUUGUCGUCAGCUCGUGCCGUGAGGUGUCAGGUUAAGUCCUAUAACGAGCGCAACCCCUACCGUUAGUUGCCAGCGUGUAAUGACGGGGACUCUAACGGAACUGCCGGUGCAAACCGUGAGGAAGGUGGGGACGACGUCAAAUCAUCACGGCCCUUACGUCCUGGGCCACACACGUGCUACAAUGGUAGGUACAGAGGGAAGCCACCCCGCGAGGGGGAGCGGAUCUACAAAACCUAUCUCAGUUCGGAUCGGGGUCUGCAACUCGACCCCAUG
rnacentral:rRNA from 1 species